GACGAACGCUGGCGGCGUGCUUAACACAUGCAAGUCGAACGGAAAGGCCCUGCUUUUGUGGGGUGCUCGAGUGGCGAACGGGUGAGUAACACGUGAGUAACCUGCCCUUGACUUUGGGAUAACUUCAGGAAACUGGGGCUAAUACCGGAUAGGAGCUCCUGCUGCAUGGUGGGGGUUGGAAAGUUUCGGCGGUUGGGGAUGGACUCGCGGCUUAUCAGCUUGUUGGUGGGGUAGUGGCUUACCAAGGCUUUGACGGGUAGCCGGCCUGAGAGGGUGACCGGCCACAUGGGUGCAGAAGUAGGGCCCGGAGGCGUACGGGGGGCGGCAGUGGUGAAUGUUGCACUGUGGGCGGAAGCCGGAGGCAGCAACCCCGCGUGCGGGAUGACGGCCUUCGGGUUGUAAACCGCUAUCACCUGUGACGAAGCGGAGGUGACGGUACUGGGUAAAUAACCGCCGUCUAACUACGUC
rnacentral:rRNA from 1 species